CAAUUACAGAUGAGGGUUUUCCUGGGCUUUGAGAAUAUUUUGGUGAUUCCAUAUGCUUCUAUACAGACCUGGGUAUUGACUGAACAUCAAAAUGUAUUUUAAGAUCUGGUUCCUCAGAAGGCACUGCCAUCUUUAUGAUGAAAAGACCACUCCAUACAAUUCACGUGAAAGCACAUGGAUUUCCUUCUCUAAUAUUGUCAUAUGUAGGAAGACAAGUGAGAGCCACAUAGCACACAGGCAAUCCAGAAUUCAUGCUGGAGAUGAAUUUUACUAAGUCAUUUGGAAAGCAUCAUUCAAUUCUUCAUACUCAGUAAUAGUCACUGUGGCCUGCUUCUGCAGACCUAAGGGAGGGAGGCAUGGCUCACAUCCAGUGUACUCAACUGGUAUGCUAGUUGAUAAAAUGAAUGUUAGAUUUACAUCCAAAUAAACAGCUUUGAAUCCUU
rnacentral:lncRNA from 1 species